GGGGGUGUAGCUCAUUUGGCAGAGCGCGUCAUUAGCAGCUUCAUCACAAAGCUUGUAUUGACGAGGUAGUGAGUUCAAUUCUUACCUCCUCCA